ACAGUCGAGAUUAAAUCGCGAUGCACAGUUUAGAUUCAUUUUCUCUUUAAACGCGAUCAAACGGUCAAGAUCAACUACAAUGAACGGUCCAGAUUAACGCGAGACAUGUAUAAAUAUUUUGCGUCAAACCUUGGCUGUCAGCCUCCCGCCGGAGAAGAAGAACUGGUUGCUGGAGAAGGGAGCCCAUGGCUAGCCACCGUC
rnacentral:lncRNA from 1 species